rnacentral:rRNA from 1 species
CAGUCGCCGCGGUAAUACGAAGGGUGCAAGCGUUAAUCGGAAUUACUGGGCGUAAAGCGUGCGUAGGCGGUGAGUUAAGUCUGCUGUGAAAUCCCCGGGCUCAACCUGGGAAUGGCAGUGGAUACUGGCUCGCUAGAGUGUGUCAGAGGAUGGUGGAAUUCCCGGUGUAGCGGUGAAAUGCGUAGAGAUCGGGAGGAACAUCAGUGGCGAAGGCGGCCAUCUGGGACAACACUGACGCUGAGGCACGAAAGCGUGGGGAGCAAACAGGAUUAGAUACCCCGUAGUCCCUGUCUCUUAUACA